AACGAACGCUGGCGGCAUGCCUAACACAUGCAAGUCGAACGAGACCUUCGGGUCUAGUGGCGCACGGGUGCGUAACGCGUGGGAACCUGCCCUUAGGUUCGGAAUAACUCCCCGAAAGGGGUGCUAAUACCGGAUAAUGUCUUCGGACCAAAGAUUUAUCGCCUUUGGAUGGGCCCGCGUUGGAUUAGCUAGUUGGUAGGGUAAAAGCCUACCAAGGAGACGAUCCAUAGCUGGUCUGAGAGGAUGAUCAGCCACACUGGGACUGAGACACGGCCCAGACUCCUACGGGAGGCAGCAGUAGGGAAUAUUGGACACUGGGCGAAAGCCUGAUCCAGCAAUGCCGCGUGAGUGAUGAAGGCCUUAGGGUUGUAAAGCUCUUUUACCCGGGAUGAUAAUGACAGUACCGGGAGAAUAAGCACCGGCUAACUCCGUG
rnacentral:rRNA from 1 species